UACGUAGGGUGCAAGCGUUGUCCGGAAUUAUUGGGCGUAAAGAGCUCGUAGGCGGUCUGUCGCGUCUGCUGUGAAAACUCGGGGCUUAACCCCGGGCCUGCAGUGGGUACGGGCAGACUAGAGUGCGGUAGGGGAGACUGGAAUUCCUGGUGUAGCGGUGAAAUGCGCAGAUAUCAGGAGGAACACCGGUGGCGAAGGCGGGUCUCUGGGCCGUAACUGACGCUGAGGAGCAAAAGCGUGGGGAGCGAACAGG
rnacentral:rRNA from 1 species